rnacentral:rRNA from 1 species
UACUUAUUGUUUUAUUUAAAUCCCCUGUUUAUAUAUAGAUUUAACUCAAAAUAGAGCCAAAGCCAGAUUCAAACUUUCCCUAAAAUUUAACCCAGAAGGACCUUAAAAGUAUGGAUAAAAACUCGGAACCACUUUAGCGCAAGU